UACGUAGGGUGCAAGCGUUGUCCGGAAUUAUUGGGCGUAAAGAGCUCGUAGGCGGUCUGUCGCGUCUGCUGUGAAAACUCAGGGCUUAACCCUGAGCUUGCAGUGGGUACGGGCAGACUAGAGUGGCGGUAGGGGAGACUGGAAUUCCGUGGUGAUAGCGGUGAAAUGCGCAGAUAUCGAGGGAGGGAACACCGGUGGCGAAGGCGGGUCUCUGGGCCGUAACUGACGCUGGAGGAGCGAAAGCAUGGGGAGCGAACAGG
rnacentral:rRNA from 1 species